rnacentral:tRNA from 1 species
GAGGGUAUAGUUAAGUGGUAGAGCUCAUAGAUGGCAUGCAUGAGGUCCUGGGUUCAAUCCCCACUACCUCCA